CCUACGGGAGGCAGCAGUGGGGAAUAUUGCACAAUGGGGGGAACCCUGAUGCAGCGACGCCGCGGGAGUGAAGCAGUAUUUCGGUAUGUAAAGCUCUAUCAGCAGGGGAGAAGAUGACGGUACCUGACUAAGAAGCCCCGGCUAACUACGUGCAAGCAGCCGCGGUAAUACGUAGGGGGCAAGCGUUAUCCGGAUUUACUGGGUGUAAAGGGAGCGUAGACGGCAGGGCAAGUCUGGAGUGAAAACCCGGGGCUCAACCCCGGGACUGCUUUGGAAACUGCCAUGCUAGCGUGCUGUAGAGGUAAGCGGAAUUCCUAGUGUAGCGGUGAAAUGCGUAGAUAUUAGGAGGAACACCAGUGGCGAAGGCGGCUUACUGGACAGUAACUGACGUUGAGGCUCGAAAGCGUGGGGAGCAAACAGGAUUAGAUACCCUAGUAGUC
rnacentral:rRNA from 1 species